rnacentral:lncRNA from 1 species
AAAGGCCCUGAGGUGGGAGCUGGCCUUAGGCGCUGUGGCGUGGCUGAAGCCAGAGUGAAAAAAGACAAUCAUGGAAAAGCACAACCAACUGUGACAGAUACAAAGUGGAAAAAAACCUGAGCUUAACAAUGAGAAGCCUCAUGGGCGGAAUUGCAAGAAGACAGCCUAAGCUCUCCUCGUCCGCAUGUGCAAUUAUGUAUAGAUGAAAAAUUACAGAGGCUAAUAAUUACAGUAGCAAUUGUCCACUUGCAGCACAAUUAGCCCUUUGCUCCUCAUUCUGAGAAAGUGACUAAUUGUACCCACAGCAAGCCAACUCUCCAUGUAUUUGUUUUAGAAUGAAAUGUUAUGCUUGCCAGAAAGUCCCACCUACAAGAGCACAGGACCCAGGGCACCAUAAGGCCCAGUGCCCAGGGACUCAGGGCUUUGAAAAACCUACCUUCUAGCCCAGAACAGGCCCUGCAGUAUGUGGGAAAGUGGGUAAAAAUACUAAUGCUGGAGAUCUUGUGGACUACAUCAUGCCAUCUAUAUAUUAAAAAUGAGGAAGGUAAAAAUAGAAUUCAGGUAAUGACAACAAUUAUACUUAAUGAGUACCUUUCAUCGGAGAUCAGAAAUGCCUUCUAGUUAAAUUUCACAGCCUCCGGUGAGAUGUAAGGGGAAAAUAUUUGUAAGCUAAACCUCACUUUUCAGUCAAAGAAUCAGAAGCACUUUAGGCAGCGGUGAAUAGCAGUGUGUCUGAAAUGGAUAGAGGAUAAUUCUCAGAGAUUUCUGACUUCUUGCUCCAGAAAUCACAUUCCUGCUUGUUUUGUUAAGGUAAACACCUUUUCAAAAUAAGGCAUGUAAUGUGUCAGGUGGGUUAUAGAUGAGCAAAAAGAGGUCCUCCUACACUCCCCCUGCACCCC